rnacentral:rRNA from 1 species
CGUGCAGGCGGUUUGGUAAGUUGGUCGUGAAAGCUCCCGGCUCAACUGGGAGAGGUCGUCCAAGACUACCAGACUAGAGAGCAGAAGAGGAAGAUGGAAUUCCGGGUGUAGUGGUGAAAUGCGUAGAUAUCCGGAGGAACACCAGUGGCGAAGGCGAUCUUCUGGUCUGUUUCUGACGCUCAGACGGACAGCUAGGGUAGUAAACG